rnacentral:rRNA from 1 species
GACGAACGCUGGCGGCGUGCCUAAUACAUGCAAGUAGAACGCUGAAGGAGGAGCUUGCUUCUCUGGAUGAGUUGCGAACGGGUGAGUAACGCGUAGGUAACCUGCCUGGUAGCGGGGGAUAACUAUUGGAAACGAUAGCUAAUACCGCAUAAUAUUGACUAUUGCAUGAUAGUCAGUUGAAAGGUGCAACUGCACCACUACCAGAUGGACCUGCGUUGUAUUAGCUAGUUGGUGGGGUAACGGCUCACCAAGGCGACGAUACAUAGCCGACCUGAGAGGGUGAUCGGCCACACUGGGACUGAGACACGGCCCAGACUCCUACGGGAGGCAGCAGUAGGGAAUCUUCGGCAAUGGACGGAAGUCUGACCAAGCAACGCCGCGUGAGUGAAGAAGGUUUUCGGAUCGUAAAGCUCUGUUGUAAGAGAAGAACGAGUGUGAGAGUGGAAAGCUCACACUGUGACGGUAGCUUACCAGAAAGGGACGGCUAACUACGUG